UUCAAUUUUUUGAGACGUCUGCGGAUGUAUGCGUUUUACGUGGGAGAAGGGCAUUUACUGAGAGUAGUGUUGAUGUUACCUACAGAAUAGCACGGACUGACUAUGUCCCGCAACUGCGGUAAAUCAGAGGGUGCAAGCUUAAUCGGAGUACUUGGCGAAAGCGCGCGUAGGUGUUCGUUAAGUUGGAUGUGAUAUACCCAGGGUCAACCUGGGAACUUCAUCCAAAACUGUCGAAUUGAGUAGACAGAGGGUGGUGGAAUGUCCUGUGUAGCGGUGAAAUGCGUAGAUAUAGGAAGGAAGCCAGUGGCGAAGGCGACCACCUGGGAUCAUGUGACACUGAGGUGUGAAAGCGUGGGGAGCAAACAGGAUUAGAUAACCUGGUAGUCCACGCCGUGAACGAUGUCAACUAACCGUUGGAAUCCUUGAGAUUUUAGUGGCGCAGCUAACGCAUUAAGUUGACCGCCUGGGGAGUACGGCCGCAAGGUUAAAACUCAAAUGAAUUGACGGGGGCCCGCACAAGCGGUGGAGCAUGUGGUUUAAUUUGAAGCAACGCGAAGAACCUUACCAGGCCUUGACAUGCAGAGAACUUUCCAGAGAUGGAUUGGUGCCUUCGGGAACUCUCACACAGGUGUUGCAUGGCUGUCGUCAGCUCGUGUCGUGAGAUGUUGGGUUAAGUCCCGUAACGAGCGCAACCCUUGUCCUUAGUUACCAGCACGUUAUGGUGGGCACUGUAAGGAGACUUCCGGUGACAAACCGGAGGAAGGUGGGGAAGACGUCAAGUCAUCAUGGCCCUUACGGCCUGGGCUACACACGUGAUCCAAUGGUCGGCACAGAGGGUUGCCAAGCCGCGAGGUGGAGCUAAUCUCACAAAACCGAUAGUAGUCCGGAUCGCAGUGUGCAAGUGGACUGCGUGAAGUUGGAAUCGCUAGUAAUCGCGAAUCAGAAUGUCGCGGUGAAUACGUUCCCGGGCCUUGUACACACCUCCCGUCACACCAUGGGAGUGGGUUGCGCCAGAAGUAGCUAGUCUAACCUUGGUGAGGACGUACCGCGUC
rnacentral:rRNA from 1 species